UACGGGGGGAGCAAGCGUUGUUCGGAUUUACUGGGCGUAAAGGGCGCGUAGGCGGUCAGCACAAGUCAGUUGUGAAAUCUCCGGGCUUAACUCGGAAAGGUCAACUGAUACUGUGCGACUAGAGUGCGGAAGGGGCAACUGGAAUUCUCGGUGUAGCGGUGAAAUGCGUAGAUAUCGAGAGGAACACCUGCGGCGAAGGCGGGUCUCUGGACAGUUCCUGACACUGAGACACGAAGGCCAGGGGAGCAAACGGG
rnacentral:rRNA from 1 species